AUGAUAUUAUAAUUGAUUGUAAAGUUACUACUCAACUGCAUGGAAUGUUGGGAAUCUUGCAGGGAAUAACCUUGCAAGGCAUGUCAUCCUCUCUUCCUCUCCCUCCCUCUGUUCAUAAUCUGUGUUGAAGGACAGGGCAGCACUUGCCUCAUUGCUGCUGACAAAUAAAAGAGGAAGUCAGUGACUGAGUGCUGCAUAAAAGGACAUUAACAGUACCUGCUGGACUUGGUGUGGAGCAGCUGUCAAGUGAAGAACAACAGGAUGUCGAAGGACCAGUUGGACUCAGUGGUGAGCCACGCGGAGGGCUUGCUCUCAUUGGCCGUUCAGCUGCAUGCACAGUGUCAGGAGGAGAGCACGCAGAUGGAUGCUCUAGCCGUGCAGCUGAGAGAGGAGAGCCAGAGUCUUCUUAGCCAAAGCAACGUGCUUCAACGGGACAUGGCUGAGAUAUGCAAAGCACUGGAAACUCUGAUAGACACUAAGGUGGCCUUUGAAGCCAAAGAGAGACAGGCUCGCAAACUAAGCAAGCAGCUCUGAAACACAGUGGAGAGCUUACCACUUAAAUUCAAUGAAAUUGGCAUUGGCAGAAAAAAAUAGUGGUCUUCUAGUUCACAUUAUCAAAUGUGAUGUGAAAUGUAUUUUCUUUUUAUUAAUGAAAAUCUAAUCCUGGAACAACAACAACCACUCAACCAAUAGUGUGAGUUUGGGGCGGGACUAUCUGUUUGUUCAUCCAAUGGCAAACCUUUUUGAAAACCAUCCUGAUUUCUUCUGGUACUGGGGCAGAAUUUCCACACUUCAGCUUUAAAUGUUAGAUUCGUACCAUCAGUUAUUGGCGUAGUUUUCUUUUAAUCCUCUAAACAAUCCACAGCACACAUUUGUAAAGAUAAGAUAAGAGUGUAUAUAAGCCAUUAUGAAUUUAUCCUGGUGUAUAUGUCCAAACACAUGGUCUAAGACAUGAUUAUUGUCUCUCUGGACAUAUUUUAAAACUGUGUAUAUUAUUUUAGCUAUCAUACAUAAAAAAAAAAACUGUUUAUGUGAAUAAUUAAAAACUCAAA